AACAUUCAUUUGUAUAGGCCCAAUUAUAAGGUAUCAGAUGUUUUCUUUUAAGUGGAUAACUUGAAAUUUUUUACAUUGAAGUAAGGGCCUAACAUCAUCUCUAACAGUCUCUACAAAUGUGUUUUAUUGUUUUUCUAAUACAUACGAUAUUACUUACAUUAAGAGGUAGGGGAGGGAACAAAACUUCCAAAUAAUUUGGUUCGGGUUGUUUUUUAUAAGAAUCAAACAUAAGAUCUUUUAUUUACAAGUAAAGAAGAAUACCACUAGACUGUAGUACUAAAUGAAGAAGUUAAGGUUCCACCAUAAAACUAAGAGGUAUUUGUUGAUUUGCCCUCUGAACUUGUAUCGAGCUGCGAAUUUCCUCUUGAGCUUUAAUUUUAGCUGAUUACACUCUUGAACUUUUAUAAUUAGCCAAUUUC
rnacentral:lncRNA from 1 species